UACAGAGGGUGCGAGCGUUAAUCGGAAUUACUGGGCGUAAAGCGCGCGUAGGCGGCUUUGCAAGUCGGGUGUGAAAUCCCCAGGCUUAACCUGGGAACUGCAUUCGAGACUGCAUGGCUAGAGUAUCGGAGAGGGAAGUGGAAUUUCAGGUGUAGCGGUGAAAUGCGUAGAUAUCUGAAGGAACAUCAGUGGCGAAAGCGACUUCCUGGACGAAUACUGACGCUCAGGCACGAAAGCGUGGGGAGCAAACAGGG
rnacentral:rRNA from 1 species